GACGAACGCUGGCGGCGUGCUUAACACAUGCAAGUCGAACGGAAAGGCCCUGCUUGCAGGGUACUCGAGUGGCGAACGGGUGAGUAACACGUGGGUGAUCUGCCCUGCACUUCGGGAUAAGCCUGGGAAACUGGGUCUAAUACCGGAUAGGAGCCAUUUUUAGUGUGAUGGUUGGAAAGUUUUUUCGGUGUAGGAUGAGCUCGCGGCCUAUCAGCUUGUUGGUGGGGUAAUGGCCUACCAAGGCGGCGACGGGUAGCCGGCCUGAGAGGGUGGACGGCCACAUUGGGCCUGAGAUACGGCCAGGCCCCCUACGGGAGGAAGCGGUGGGGAAUAUGGCACAAUGGGGGCAACCCUGUGCCGGCGCGGCGGCGUGGGGGAUGCCGGCCUUCGGUUUGUAACUCCUUUCGCUAGGGACGAAGCUUUUUGUGACGGUACCUAGAGAAGAAGCACCGGCUAACUACGUG
rnacentral:rRNA from 1 species